UACCAGCACCCCGAGUGGUCUGGACGUUUAUUGGGCCUAAAGCAUCCGUAGCCGGUUCUACAAGUCUUCCGUUAAAUCCACCUGCUUAACAGAUGGGCUGCGGAAGAUACUAUAGAGCUAGGAGGCGGGAGAGGCAAGCGGUACUCGAUGGGUAGGGGUAAAAUCCGUUGAUCCAUUGAAGACCACCAGUGGCGAAGGCGGCUUGCCAGAACGCGCUCGACGGUGAGGGAUGAAAGCUGGGGGAGCAAACCGG
rnacentral:rRNA from 1 species